GAUGAAGAACGUAGUGAAAUGCGAUAAUUAAUGUGAAUUGCAGAAUUCCGUGAAUCAUCGAGUCUUUGAACGCACAUUGCGCCUCAUGGCAUUCCGUGAGGCAUGCACAUCUCAGCGUUAGAAAAUAUUCUCAAAUUUUAGUUUUGUGCUAAAAUUUGGAUCAUGUCAAAGAAGCUAUUACUAUUAUUGUGAUCGCUCUUUGGAAAUUGAUAGGUCUUUGAGUUGCUACUCAUAGAACGUGAUGAAUCUUUCUUCGUUCUAUUGUAAUUCACUCUGGUAGUCCUAAAACUUGUAUGCCUGUGGCAUAUCUUGUAAUUUGACCUGAGAUUGGGUAGGGAUACCCGCUGAACUUAAGCAUAUCAAUAAGCGGAGGA
rnacentral:misc_RNA from 1 species